GACGAACGCUGGCGGCGUGCUUAACACAUGCAAGUCGAACGGACAGGCCCUGCUCUUGCGGGGUGCUCGAGUGGCGAACGGGUGAGUAACACGUGAGUAACCUGCCCUUGGCUUUGGGAUAACUUCAGGAAAAUGGGGCUAAUACCGGAUAGGAGCUCCUGCUCCAUGGUGGGCGUUGGAAAGUUUCGGCGGUUUGGGAUGGACUCGCGGCUUCUCGGCUUGUUGGUGGGGUAGUGGAUUACCAAGGCUUUGACGGGUAGCCGGCCUGAGCGGGUGACCAGCGACAUUGGGACUGAGGUAGGGCCCAGACGCCUACGGGAGGCAGCAGGGGGGAGUAUUGCACAAUGGGCGGAAGCCUGAUGCAGCAGCGCUGCGUGCGGGAUGACGGCCUUCGGGUGGUAAACCGCUUUCGCCUGUGACGAAGCGGGAGUGACGGUAAUGGGUAAAGAAGCACCGGCUAACUACGUG
rnacentral:rRNA from 1 species